CAUAAAAGGUCCAGCCUGCCCAGUGACCAUGUUCAACGGCCGCGGUAUCCUAACCGUGCGAAGGUAGCGUAAUCACUUGUUCUUUAAAUGAGGACUAGUAUGAAUGGCACCACGAAGAUUAUACUGUCUCCUUUUUUCAAUCAGUGAAACUAAUCUUCCCGUGAAGAAGCGGGAAUAAAAAUAUAAGACGAGAAGACCCUAUGGAGCUUUAAACUAAAUUACAUUUGUCCACAAACUAUUUUAUUCCAGAAACACACUAUUUAUUCUGACAUCAUGAUUUUAAGUUUUAGGUUGGGGUGACCGCGGAGAAAAACACAUCCUCCGCAUUGAACAAGACAACCUCUUUAGCUAAAAGUUACGUCUUAAAGCAUCAACAAAUUGACAUUAUUGACCCAAUAUUUUGAUCAACGAACCAAGUUACCCUAGGGAUAACAGCGCAAUCCACUUCAAGAGCUCCUAUCGACAAGUGGGUUUACGACCUCGAUGUUGGAUCAGGGUAUCCCAGUGGUGCAGCCGCUACUAAAGGUUCGUUUGUUUAA
rnacentral:rRNA from 1 species